rnacentral:ncRNA from 2 species
CUUGCCGCCAGCGCUGAUUUGUUCCGGCUUGCGGGCGCUUUAAAAAACCAGCUAAAGAAUGGACGCACCCACAGGUGU